UACGUAGGGGGCAAGCGUUGUCCGGAAUUAUUGGGCGUAAAGCGCGCGCAGGCGGUUUUUUAAGUCUGGGGUUUAAUUGCAGGGCUCAACCCUGUAUCGCCUCGGAAACUGGGAGACUGGAGUGUAGGAGAGGAAAGUGGAAUUCCACGUGUAGCGGUGAAAUGCGCAGAUAUCGGGAAGAACACCCGUGGCGAAGGCGGUUCUCUGGGACGGUACUGACGCUGAGAAGCGAAAGCGUGGGGAGCGAACAGG
rnacentral:rRNA from 1 species